rnacentral:rRNA from 1 species
GACGAACGCUGGCGGUGUGCCUAAUACAUGCAAGUAGAAUGCAGUUUCGAACGGGUGAGUAACGCGUAGGUAACUGCCUCAUAGCGGGGGAUAACUAUUGGAAACGAUAGCUAAUACCGCAUACUGCGAGAUGGACCUGCGUUGUAUUAGCUAGUUGGUGAGGUAAAGGCUCACCAAGGCGACGAUACAUAGCCGACCUGAGAGGGUUGGCGAGCACGCGGGGACGGAGACACGGCCCCGACUCCUACGGGAGGCAGCAGUAGGGAAUCUGCGGCAAUGGACGGAGGUCUGACCGAGCACCGCCGCGUGAGUGAGGAAGGUUUUCGGAUCGUAAAGCUCUGUUGUUAGAGAAGCGGUGACUAACCAGAAAGGGACGGCUAACUACGUGCCAGCCGCCGCGGUAAUAC